rnacentral:lncRNA from 1 species
UCAUGGCUGGAAGAGAUCUGGAAGAGGUCCGGAGAACGGUCGAUCAUUGUAGAAGGUCGGUAGAUAGUGAAGCCCGGAGAGUAUUUGAAGCAGUCCGGUGGAUGACUGAAGAAGUUCGUUGUUGGAGAAGUCUGGAAGGGCGUUAUCAUAGCUCAGACAGUUGGGGGAGUUUAGAAAAGCAUCGCACCAGGUCAGAAAUUCGGCUACC